GACGAACGCUGGCGGCGUGCUUAACACAUGCAAGUCGAGCGGUAAGGCCCUUUCGGGGUACGACGAGCGGCGAACGGGUAGAGUAACACGUGGGUGGACCUCGCCCUCCAGCUCUGGGAGUAAGCCUGGGAAACCGGGGUACUAAUACUGGAUAUGACUCCAUGACGCAUGUUGUGGGGUGGAAAGCCUUGUGCGGCUGAGGAUGGGCCCGCGGCCUAUCAGCUUGUUGGUGGGGUGAGGCCUACCAAGGCGACGACGGGUAGCCGGCC
rnacentral:rRNA from 1 species